rnacentral:lncRNA from 1 species
GAGUUAUGCAACUCUAUAAGGGCCCGUUUGGUUCAAGUUAUGUAAUAUUACAAAGUAUCUCGACAUAUCCAGGUAUCUUGGAUUUCGGCAUGAGAUUACUACUGAUGCUGCAUUAGAGCGUUUGGUUUAAUACAGUAAUGUAAUACUAGAUUACAGUGUUUAUAGCAUUAAUAUGUUUGGUUCAGUUUAUAAAAUUUAGUAAUCCUGACAUAAAAGUAUAGUUUUUUUCUAAAAUUGCUCUUGUUGUUGUCAUUUGAAUAUUAUUUUUUACGGAAAUGACGAAUGGAGGGAAAGAGAUCGUGAUGAUUACUUGGGAGGAUGACGCAAUAGAAGACGAUAGGUAUUCGUGCGCGCGUGAGAGAGAGAGAGAGAGAGAGAGAGACGUUGAGAGAGAGAGAGCGAGAGAAAGCGGCGUGCGAGAGAGAGGGCCGGGGGGAAGGCAAGAGAGAGAUGAAAAUAAUACUGUUAAUUAGAUUUGGGGUUGUUGGAGGGUAAAAUUGUCAUUUUACAUAAUAUAUAGUAUUAACGGGUUUCAGUAAUGCAAGAUACACGACCCCCCUUCUGUUAAUAUUUUCGAUGUAAUCCUGUUCGAUUUGUAAUACUAUAUUAACGACUAGAUUACAUAGCGGAUUAACCAAACACAGUUAUCCUGGCAGAAUUGCCUGUAAUCCUGCCAGGAUAACUCGAACCAAACACACUCUAAGUGAAACCUCCACUUGAACAUUUUAAGGGAAAAAAAAAAGUUAUAAACUUAGCAGACAAAGCAUUUUCCUUUUAUUCUGGUCAAUAGCAGUGCUAGUAUGUUUGGAGCACUUAUAUAUGAGAGACAAUUCCUUAUAUGCUUCUGAAAAGUUGCCGACUUUUUUAUUUAUUUUUUUUAGAAAGCUAAUAUUAAAAAUAUUUUUUAAAUAUUUUAAGUUAUUUCAAAUAUAUUUUUAGAGUUAAAUUCUGUCAGUAAACUGUUAGCAACAACAGUUAUUUUCAUAAAAUUAUUAUUUCGUCCUUUCAAAUGUAUCUUAUUUGUUCUUAAAUUAGGGCCAAAAAAAAUAUUUUGACUUCUUGUAACUCAAGUAGAAAUUUAUUUCGGAUUUAAGCCAAAAUAACUUAACAAGUACUAACAGCAAAAGUAUUUUUGAAUAACAGAGAAAUAUACUAAAAAUAUAUUUAAAAUAAAAAAAUAAAGAUAUAUAAGAUAUUUCAGAAGUUUUCGGAGAUAUAUUAGAUAUCAUCCCUGUAUAAUACAUAUACCUAAAACUUUUAUUACACACCGGCCUCCUAUUCAUAUAAACUAAACUUUCUC